rnacentral:sRNA from 1 species
UGUCCGAAAUGUGGGGGGAGGGUGAGAUCCCUCGUGGUUCGAGCCGAGCGAAGCGAGACCACAUCGGAGCUUGCGACGAUAGCCCGAAGGGCGAGGAGUGUAACGACGAGUAAUCCUCCCUCACCGCCA